rnacentral:rRNA from 1 species
GUGCGAGUCGAACGGAUCCUUCGGGAUUAGUGGCGGACGGGUGAGUAACACGUGGGAACGUGCCCUUUGGUUCGGAACAACUCAGGGAAACUUGAGCUAAUACCGGAUAAGCCUUUCGAGGGAAAGAUUUAUCGCCAUUGGAGCGGCCCGCGUAGGAUUAGCUAGUUGGUGAGGUAAAAGCUCACCAAGGCGACGAUCCUUAGCUGGUCUGAGAGGAUGAUCAGCCACAUUGGGACUGAGACACGGCCCAAACUCCUACGGGAGGCAGCAGUGGGGAAUCUUGCGCAAUGGGCGAAAGCCUGACGCAGCCAUGCCGCGUGAAUGAUGAAGGUCUUAGGAUUGUAAAAUUCUUUCACCGGGGACGAUAAUGACGGUACCCGGAGAAGAAGCCCCGGCUAACUUCUUGCCAGCAGCCGCGGUAAUACGAAGGGGGCUAGCGUUGCUCGGAAUUACUGGGCGUAAAGGGAGCGUAGGCGGAUAGUUUAGUCAGAGGUGAAAGCCCAGGGCUCAACCUUGGAAUUGCCUUUGAUACUGGCUAUCUUGAGUACGGAAGAGGUAUGUGGAACUCCGAGUGUAGAGGUGAAAUUCGUAGAUAUUCGGAAGAACACCAGUGGCGAAGGCGACAUACU